rnacentral:rRNA from 1 species
GACGAACGCUGGCGGCGUGCUUAACACAUGCAAGUCGAACGGCAGCGCCCUGCUUGUGUGGGGUGCUCGAGUGGCACAGGGGUGCGUAACACGUGAGUGUCCUCACCUUGACUUUGGGAUAACUUCAGGCAACUGGGACUAAUACCGGAUAGGUGCGCCUGCUACUGGGUGGGGGUUGGAAAGUUUCGGCGGUUGGGGAUGGACUGGCGGCUUAUGAGCUUGUUGGUGGGGGAGUGGCUUACGACGGCUUUGGAGGGUGGGCGGCCUGAGAGGGUGACCGGGACCAGGGGGACUGAGAUACGGCACAGAGUCGUACGGGAGACAGCAGUGGGGAAUAUUGCCCAAUGGUGCCAAGUCUGAUGCAGCAACGCGGCGUGCGGGAUGACGGCCUGCGGGUAUUAAACCGCAUUGUGCUGUGACGAUGGGUGUGUGACGGUAACGGGUGAAUAAGCACCGGCUAACUACGUG